rnacentral:lncRNA from 1 species
GGUAGACAUUGUUGAAGGAUACCUCAAAGUACCCAGAAGGACAGGAGGAAUUGCAGAACCUCAGGCUGGAGGGUAUCCCUCAAAACGAGCAAGACACAGCUAGCAAAGGUGCCCUGUGAUUUUCAGUGCCACUGACGUCCUUUUGUCAUGAAUGUAAGGAGAAAGAAGGAGCUGCAUUGUGGAGUGCACUGGAUUUUUUGAGAAAAUUUGCUAAUCACUAAGGAUAAUAUUGCUGUGAUGCAUAGUGCCUUUAUUCAUUGUGGGUUUAACUUAAUCCAUGAACAUUGUACAUUUCAUCAUCAUUUUUUCAGUUUGUUCCUAUUGUUGUACUGGAGUUGGUGUAUGUGAAGACAGCAUUAUCAAAAAAGAGAAAAGCUUAUAUCACUUCCUUACUUCUUUAAUAUCCUCUUCAUUUUGGGAUGACUUAUUUUCCCUCCGUACCUUUUGCUAAAAUCACG